GACGAACGCUGGCGGCGUGCUUAACACAUGCAAGUCGAACGGAAAGGCCCUGCUUUUGUGGGGUGCUCGAGUGGCGAACGGGUGAGUAACACGUGAGUCACCUGCCCUUGACUUUGGGAUAACUUCAGGAAACUGGGGCUAAUACCGGAUAGGAGCUCCUGCUGCAUGGUGGGGGUUGGAAAGUUUCGGCGGUUGGGGAUGGACUCGCGGCUUAUCAGCUUGUUGGUGGGGUAGUGGCUUACCAAGGCUUUGACGGGUAGCCGGCCUGAGAGGGUGACCGGCCACAUUGGGACUGAGAUACGGCCCAGACGCCUACGGGAGGCAGCAGUGGGGAAUAUUGCACAAUGGGCGGAAGCCUGAUGCAGCAACGCCGCGUGCGGGAUGACGGCCUUCGGGUUGUAAACCGCUUUCGCCUGUGACGAAGCGUGAGUGACGGUAAUGGGUAAAGAAGCACCGGCUAACUACGUG
rnacentral:rRNA from 1 species